AGUUUAAAUAGUUUAAAUAAAACUUUGGUCUUGUAAACCAAAAAUGAAAAAAAUUUCUUUAAAC
rnacentral:tRNA from 1 species